GUUUUACCAGGUGUUUUAUCAGGUGUUUUAUCAUUACUCAGGUGUUUUAUCAGGUGUUUUACCAGGUGUUUUAUCAUUACUCAGGUGUUUUAUCAUUACUCAGGUGUUUUAUCAUUACUCAGGUGUUUUAUCAUUACUCAGGUGUUUUAUCAUUACUCAGGUGUUUCAUCAGGUGUUUUAUCAUUACUCAGGUGUUUUAUCAGGUGUUUUAUCAUUACUCAGGUGUUUUAUCAGGUGUUUUACCAGGUGUUUUAUCAGGUGUUUUAUCAGGUGUUUUAUCAGGUGUUUUACCAGGUGUUUUAUCAUUACUCAGGUGUUUUAUCAGGUGUUUUAUCAUUUCUCAGGUGUUUUACCAGGUGUUUUAUCAGGUGUUUUAUCAGGUGUUUUAUCAUUACUCAGGUGUUUUAUCAGGUG